CUGUCGGCAGGCCUAACACAUGCAAGUCGAGCGGUAGCACAGAGAGCUUGCUCUCGGGUGACGAGCGGCGGACGGGUGAGUAAUGUCUGGGAAACUGCCUGAUGGAGGGGGAUAACUACUGGAAACGGUAGCUAAUACCGCAUAACGUCGCAAGACCAAAGUGGGGGACCUUCGGGCCUCAUGCCAUCAGAUGUGCCCAGAUGGGAUUAGCUAGUAGGUGGGGUAACGGCUCACCUAGGCGACGAUCCCUAGCUGGUCUGAGAGGAUGACCAGCCACACUGGAACUGAGACACGGUCCAGACUCCUACGGGAGGCAGCAGUGGGGAAUAUUGCACAAUGGGCGCAAGCCUGAUGCAGCCAUGCCGCGUGUGUGAAGAAGGCCUUCGGGUUGUAAAGCACUUUCAGCGGGGAGGAAGGCGUUAAGGUUAAUAACCUUGGCGAUUGACGUUACCCGCAGAAGAAGCACCGGCUAACUCCGUGCCAGCAGCCGCGGUAAUACGGAGGGUGCAAGCGUUAAUCGGAAUUACUGGGCGUAAAGCGCACGCAGGCGGUCUGUCAAGUCGGAUGUGAAAUCCCCGGGCUCAACCUGGGAACUGCAUUCGAAACUGGCAGGCUAGAGUCUUGUAGAGGGGGGUAGAAUUCCAGGUGUAGCGGUGAAAUGCGUAGAGAUCUGGAGGAAUACCGGUGGCGAAGGCGGCCCCCUGGACAAAGACUGACGCUCAGGUGCGAAAGCGUGGGGAGCAAACAGGAUUAGAUACCCUGGUAGUCCACGCCGUAAACGAUGUCGAUUUGGAGGUUGUGCCCUUGAGGCGUGGCUUCCGGAGCUAACGCGUUAAAUCGACCGCCUGGGGAGUACGGCCGCAAGGUUAAAACUCAAAUGAAUUGACGGGGGCCCGCACAAGCGGUGGAGCAUGUGGUUUAAUUCGAUGCAACGCGAAGAACCUUACCUGGUCUUGACAUCCACAGAACUUUCCAGAGAUGGAUUGGUGCCUUCGGGAACUGUGAGACAGGUGCUGCAUGGCUGUCGUCAGCUCGUGUUGUGAAAUGUUGGGUUAAGUCCCGCAACGAGCGCAACCCUUAUCCUUUGUUGCCAGCGGUUCGGCCGGGAACUCAAAGGAGACUGCCAGUGAUAAACUGGAGGAAGGUGGGGAUGACGUCAAGUCAUCAUGGCCCUUACGACCAGGGCUACACACGUGCUACAAUGGCAUAUACAAAGAGAAGCGACCUCGCGAGAGCAAGCGGACCUCAUAAAGUAUGUCGUAGUCCGGAUUGGAGUCUGCAACUCGACUCCAUGAAGUCGGAAUCGCUAGUAAUCGUAGAUCAGAAUGCUACGGUGAAUACGUUCCCGGGCCUUGUACACACCGCCCGUCACACCAUGGGAGUGGGUUGCAAAAGAAGUAGGUAGCUUAACCUUCGGGAGGGCGCUAACCACUUUGUGAUUCAUGACUGGG
rnacentral:rRNA from 1 species